UGUUCAUGAGGCGUGUCAGAAUACGACUCUCCGAUUGGCUGCCCUUUAGAGCAUAUGACUCUGAACCAGCCGCUGCUGACAAUAUAAACAUUCGGAAUACAGCGACUUUACACGAUAAAGUUUCGAGGCGUUUUGAAACUUAGUCUCCGCUCAAAUUUUGGGUUAUUGUACUCGCUUUCCCCAGCAAGCAGCAGAGUUGGUGUGAAAACAGCAGCAGCAGCAGCUCAUCAGGCGGUAUCCAGUGCCAGACAAGAAGAACCUGCCAUUUGAUAUCGUGGAGCUGAUGGAGAAGGUUGAACAGAAGGGAGGGUUUUUGCCCAAUGUCUUCAAGGUUCUCGUCCAUUGUCCUGCUGAAUUUCGGACUUUCUUCUCUAAUUAUAAUGCCCUCGUGAACUAGGAAAGUGGUGGUCUGUCAAAAGCGGACCGGGAACUGAUUGUUGUUGCGACCAGUGCUCACAAUCACUGCUUGUAUUGCGUGGUAUCCCACAGUGCAUUGCACCGCAUCUAUUCCAAAAAACCCGUGCUGGCUGAUCAGGGUUGCGGAGCUGAGCGCACGUGAGAAGGCCAUGCUGGACUUUGCUCUGGCAGUCUGCUGGAGUGAAACUGUAACUGAAGAACAUCUCAGCACCCUGGAGGCUCAUGGUUUUGACCGAGAGGAUAUUUGGGACAUUGCUGCCUUCUUUGCUCUGUCCAACCGCAUGGCCCGUCUGACUGACUUGAGACCUAACGCAGAGUUUUACAACAUGGGGAGAGUGCCGAGAGACACAGAAAAAAGCCUCUGAUGGGCAGGUCAAGGACGAAUAGACUCGUAGUUCUAUUUUUUUAUAACACCAAAGCCUUCGAAACUGUCAAAUAUGAUAUAAAGAUGACUGUUAAAACACUGUUUUGCAAAAUAUCACCCAAAAUGUCAUUCUCUAACCCUUUCACAAAUGUUUUCACGUUUAGCUUUUAAGCUUCUUUGAUUCACACUGUUUUUGUGUUCGUCUUCACAAAGAGAAAUUCAUCCUUGUGGCCUUUUCGUUUACUUACAUUUGUUAGUCUGUGGUUAUUUAUUAUAAAGAGAGAGAUCUGAAUAUCACAAAUGCAUUCACAAAUCACUGUAACAUACAGCUGUGAGCAGGCUUAUAGUUAUCUAAAAACUAAAACCAUAAAACAUUUGAAUUAUUCGAA